rnacentral:rRNA from 1 species
UGCAGCAGGCGCGAAACCUUUUACACUGCACGACAGUGCGAUAAGGGGACUCCGAGUGCGAGGGCAUAGAGCCCUCGCUUUUGUACACCGUAAGGAGGUGCACGAAUAAGGGCUGGGCAAGACCGGUGCCAGCCGCCGCGGUAAUACCGGCAGCCCGAGUGAUGGCCGAUAUUAUUGGGCCUAAAGCGUCCGUAGCUGGCCGGACAAGUCCGUUGGGAAAUCCACCCGCUCAACGGGCGGGCGUCCGGCGGAAACUGUUUGGCUUGGGACCGGAAGACCCGAGGGGUACGUCCGGGGUAGGAGUGAAAUCCUGUAAUCCUGGACGGACCCCCGAGGGGGAAAGCACCUCGGAAGAAAGGAUCUGACAGAGAGGGCUCAAACCCCGGGUCCGCG